GAAAGAUUUAUCGCUUUAAGAUUGGCCCGCGGAAGAUUAGGUAGUUGGUGGGGUAAAGGCCUACCAAGCCGACGAUCUAUAGCUGGUCUGAGAGGACGAACAGCCACAUUGGAACUGAGACACGGUCCAGACUCCUACGGGAGGCAGCAGUGAGGAAUAUUGGGCAAUGGAGGAAACUCUGACCCAGCCAUGCCGCGUGAGUGAAGAAGGUUUUCGAAUUGUAAAGCUCUUUCGGAUGUGAAGAUGAUGACGGUAACAUCUAAAGAAGCCCCGGCAAACUUCGUGCCAGCAGCCGCGGUAAUACGAAGGGGGCAAGCGUUGUUCGGAAUUACUGGGCGUAAAGGGUGUGUAGGCGGGAAAGUAAGAUAGUGGUGAAAUGCCUGAGCUCAACUUGGGAACUGCCAUUAUAACUAUUUUUCUAGAGUGACAGAGAGGAUAUUGGAAUACCCAGUGUAGAGGUGAAAUUCGUAGAUAUUGGGUAGAACACCGGAGGCGAAGGCGAGUAUCUGGCUGUCAACUGACGCUGAGGCACGAAAGCAUGGGGAUCAAACAGGAUUAGAUACCCUGGUAGUCCAUGCUGUAAACGAUGAAUGCUAGUUGUUGGCG
rnacentral:rRNA from 1 species